CGGAACGUACCAUUGUGGCAGGUGUACGGUGAAGUUUGGGUAAGGAAAACGCUCAACGCACUCAUGACGUACAGGUGAUGCUGUCGUACGGCGUCCUCACGCCACACUCCACACUCCACAAGGUGCGAGUACCAGCUCCUAACUGACUGCACAUGUAACACGGUUGCCAACUCAGGCCAUUGUAUUUUUUCCUUUUUUUUUUCCUUUCCUUCCUCACCUGUUACGUGUGUACGACGUGCCUUGGGUCAUGUGACCCGACUACCCAAUCAGUAAACUUUAUAAGCCGCUACCCCGGAAGCUAUCACAUUCCAUGACAGGAGAGCUGGAUUGAGACGCUACGGGAGCCAACUGCCAGUAUAACACGCCGCGAAUAAGCAGCAUAUUUGGUGCACUUAGUCGCAAUCGGCCAUAGGGAUUGAUGGCGAGCUAAGCCCGAACCUGAUCAAGCGCUGGAGCUCUCUGAAGGAAUCACCUCCUCCCUGUCGUUCAGCCCAGGCUGGUAGGAGGCUCCUGUAGCCUAAUGACUCAUUUAAUCAAUGCAACUGCAUUUCGUCCUACAACCCAGAGACACAAAGACUUUCAAUCACUUCCCAUCACUGAACACUAACCUCCGGAUUCAACUAUUUCUGUCUGGGUUGCAUGGACAAUACAUGAGCUGAUGAUAUUGAGUCGGAUACGACGGAUCACUCACUGAACCGUCCAUCUGUACAUAAUCUUUGUAAAGGAUAUCCUGGAAUAAUUUGAAAUAUUCUUUUGUAAUAUUGGUGUAUGGUGUAUGUUUAUGUGUGUGUCAAAAAAUACAUGGUACCAUUCAUAGCAAACCUACAGUCUCCAGUCUCUGCCUCCUCUCUCCCUGAGCCGUCCCUGUUCUUCUGACUCUAGUCCACGAUAGAUAUGCUACACACACACACGCA